GGUUCUUCAUAUUAAUUUUUUUUAAUGUACAAAAUGGAUUAAGAAAGUAAAUAAAAAUAUAGGAAAGAGUAAAACUAAGCUAAAAUCGGAAAAAAUGGAAUAGAUUAAACCUAGAGCUACAUAUACAAAACGGAAAACGAAUAUUGUAAACAAACCUGCCGGAGCUAGAACCGCCGCUGCUGCCGCAAUGUCAGUUGAAGAAACAAACCGAACGCAUGGGCAUCUUCUUCAUGAGGUAUGAAAAGCGAGACCACCCAAAACAAAAACGGAGAAACAAUCUAUAUCAGAAAAGAAGAAAAAAGCAAAGAAGCGAAGGUUGAGGAGGAGCCAACAAAACAAGGAAGUUUCGCCGAUUUGGGUCCGAUGUGUGGAUAGACCAGAAUCACACCCCACGACCAACCCACCUUCAUCCUCGCCUGGAAACCUAACUCCGAAACUCCACUCACCAUCCUCAAAGCAAGCAAAAAAAGAGAGAGUAGGAAUCGGUCGACUGCAUCAGAACCUCAAACCUAACAUCUAAUUUUUCACCAAGUUGGCCUCGAACGCAUCGCCAAUAAACUAAUAAAACACUACUGACAAUAACAUAGGGAGGCUCCGAGUAUCACAAUUCAGAUCUUCUCUCACAGAUCCUCGUCAUGAAAAAACUCCACCAUAGGUCUCCGAUACACCUUCCGACACUUUAGAUCCAAAGCAACCAUAACUCAACACGGUACAAAAGCACACCUUAAACUAAAGGUUUUGGCCCGAUCUACUCAUACAUAACAUCAGAGAAGGAGCCGGACACCAAAAUGUUAUUCAUUUCUUU
rnacentral:lncRNA from 1 species